UCGAGGCCAGGCCUUCUGGUCUGAGCGCCCGCUGUGCCCACAGCAAUGCAGGGUGCCAUCUCUGUAUUCCUCACAUCAAUAGGGUGCUGCUUGAACGUGGCCCCCAGCCCGUGGGCACCUGGGCAGGGCAGGCUGCACCCCAGAGGGGCACUGCUCCUGCUUCCCCAGAAAGGCAGCCCUAGGCCCUGGGAGGGCUCAGCGCCAUCCUCCCAGAGGGCUGGGCACGAAGCAAGGACAGCCGUGAAGUGGAUGCAGCCACGCAGCAGCCAGCCCUCUCCCUGGAGCGGUGACCACCACUGGUGACAGUCAGCUCAAUCAAGGGAUGCUGACCUAUUCAAUGCCACCUGCAAGGAGCCUGGAAUCCUGGUACUUGCCAGGCAAAAGAUGCCCACGUGGCCAGCCCCCGACACCCUGUCAGCAGGACCCUCAAGCUUUCCUAGUGGAUGCCACGCCCCACGUGCUACCACAGCACUGGCCGAGGGUUUGGCGCACCCCGAGCCGCCCCUGUGCGGUGGUCUUGGUGGCUUGUGGCUGGUUUGCUCCUCCCCCGCCGUCUCUCCCCUCUGCUCCUCUUGGUUUGGGUCCUUCCCUGGAAUCACCUGUAGCCCUGUAUGACUCCGUAAGUCCUGCGAAUCCCACGAGAGAGCGUCAGGCCUGGAGGUGGCCUGGGGACCACAACGCUCCAACCGUGGGACCCUGGGCAAUCACUCGACCCGAGUUUCCCUGGCUGGGCAAUGGGGUGAUUUCAAGCCAGAACUCAUCUCCCAAGAUGGUGGUGAAGAUGACAGGAGUCGGAGUCUGUCAGUUGCUUAGGACAGCUGGCACCAGCAGGCACUCAGGAAGUGCUCCUGGAGAGGGUAGGGGGUCAGCUAGGUGACCUCGGUGGGAUAAGGACACUCAGGACAGCACUGUUUCGGAAUGCGACUGUGAGGGUGACUGGGGGCAGCUCUGAGUGGACCCAGGAGGGAAGACCCACCCUCAGUGAGGGCGGGCACCAUCCAACCUCCUGCGUCCCAGACAGAGAAAGAAUACGGGGGGCACACACACACACCCCUCUUCUCCUGGACGUCAGAACUCUGGGCUCUCUGGGCCUGGACUGACAGGACCAGCAGCUCCGGGUGCUGGGACUUGGGGCCUUGGACUGAGACGCACACCAUGGGUUUCCUUGGUCCUGACCCUUCAGAUCUGGACCGUGUCACGCUACCGGCACGCCAGGGUCUCCGCUUGCUGACGGGCUGCCGUGGGGUUUCUCUGCCUCCAAGAUCCCUAGUCAAGCUCUCUAACGAAUCCCCUCCUGUAACACCUACACACGUCCGUCCGUUUUUUCCCUCUGGAGAGCUCUGACACGCUUCAGGACACAGUGCUCGAUGGACAUGUGGAUGUGCACCCCGGGAGCCACCAAAAUGAUGAACGGAAACGGGUCAGUGAGGGUGGUGAUCAGCAGAGGCAGGAGCCAGCUGCCAACCACAGGACUCUGGGACGAUGCGGGAAGUCACCAGCAGCUGGUGGCAACGUGAGGCCAGGAUUAGGGGCAGCACAGGGGGACAGGUGGCACUUUGGUCUGUCCAGAUGGCGGCUGCCCCAUGGGGUGACACCUGGGGAGGCCAGCCAGACAGCCAUGGCCACUCGGAGGAGCUGCAACACCACACAGUCCCCAGCCUCCACCCAAUCUGAGCUGUUGAGGCCCGUGGCUGGUUCCUCCCCUGGCUCCCGGGAUAGGCCAGAGGCCAACACCGUGGCUGUGAGGGACAUGGGUCACGUGUCGCUUACCGUUACCUUCUCUUCUGCUGUUAUGGUAAGAAGGGCUUUCAGCUGUGUCCUGUUCUGGAAAAGAAAAAAAAAAAAAAAAACACUCUGGUCACUGCUCCCGGAGUCUGGUCCGCAGGGUAGCAUUGGUGUCACGUUCAGCCCACCAGGCAUCCAGGCAACAGCUGGGCAAGGAGGAGCCCGCGGGGUCCUGCAAUCCCUUGCCGGGAAGUCUGUGAUUUUGGAUCCUGCUUUCUCCACCAAACGCUCAAGCGCAUACACAGCAGCAGGUUCCUAAGACCCAGGAGAGCCCGCGGCAUGGUGUGUGGGAAACACAGGUGGGGGUCAGGCCUCCCGGAAAGGGGUGGGCCCACAGCUGCCAGCUGUGUGUCCAGGGGAGACCAUCCACUCUCUGCCUAGGGUCACCUCUCACUGUGACCACCCUGUGGACCCACCUAAUGGCUUCAAUGUCCCUCUGUUGAGAAGACACCAGACCCAUGAAGGGAAUAUCUGCAUGUUCAUAAAGAACCCUCUUGGGGCUGAGACCCAGGACUAAAUACAAACUCCAGUUAAGUUCCGCAGACGCCUUCCCCACACACCGGAGAGAAACUCUAUACAACACAAAGUGCAACUGCAUUUUGACCAGAUCCCAUGCCCUGAGGUCAGGUAUGGAAUUCCGCAUGUGCGGUGUCACGUGGGUGCUCAACCAGUUUGUCAGCAUUUUGGAUUUGGGGUUCGGGGAUGAGAAGUGCUCCCCUGUGGUAUCCCGGCACGUCACCUUGGGCCUGGAGAUUGAAGUCCCGUGAGCCAUGCGCAAUGUGCAGCGGUCAUCAGGGACACUACUCUCUAACCUGACCUGUGCUCCAAGGCAGAAAACCCCCUGGCCCAUGGGCCCCCACUGUGACAACAGCCCAGGAGGCACGCAGCAUGCCAGGUCCAGCUCGGGCGGCAGGCAACCUGUCAGAGGCUUUGAAAGAAACCAACUACCAUGGCUCAUUUUCUAGGGGCUUAGAAAAAAAUUUAAAUAUGAGUCUUAAAAGAAGUGACAACCAGAGGGCAAUCGCCCUGCCCUUUCUGCUUGAGCGGCCGCUGCUCUGGCAUAUUUAUGAUGCUCUGUGGGUUUCAGGUCCCCUGAGCUGGACAGCUAAGGCUAAAUUUGGAAGGCCACACCUGGGGGCUCUCUGCCCUGCUCUCGUCCCCCACAGCACCCCUGCCUCCAGUCUAGGCAAACAGGAGUGUCCGUGUGCCGUGGAGCUCGGAUUCAGACCCUAACCCCUGGCUUACCACGUAAACUCAAGGCUGGAAAAGAUGUUUUGAACCUUAGCACAAGUCAGAAGACAUGGGCCAGGGGACUGCAGCGAUGGACUUACAAAGUGGCCAUGAAGUGUACAUGACACACUGUCCUGACUUUCUCCUUCCUGAUCUGCCUUCAUCUAGGAUCAAUGAUUCUAAAGUGGCGGAACUAGAUGAGACUUGGGGAAUCUUCCCACUGCUCUCAUUUUUCAGAUGAAGAAACUGAAGCCUGGUGAAGUCCCACUGAGUGUCUGAGUAUGGGUGAGCACGCAGCUGGCACAGUGGCUGCAGCCCCGAGGCACGGGAGGUAGUGCUGGACAGGCAGAGCGACCACUCAUGUGGAGCUCACAUAAGUCUCACUCAGACUCAGGGUCUGAUCAUUUUCAGUCCUAAAGACACACUGACACUCCAUAGCAUAUAGGAAAGCCCAGGAGUCACCCAGACUCUCAAGUCCACCCAGUGAAACAAGCUGAGAACAAGGGAUGGGGACCUUGCCGACUUCCAGCACUAUUCACUCAACAAACACUGACCAAGCACCUUCUACACUGCACUUCCAGGGCAGGUCUGAGGCUAAGAGCUCAAGACAGCAGCAGGAGGGAGCCCGGAACUCAGCUCGUGAAGCUCGGAACUCUGGAAUCUUCUGGCGGGCAGGAUGAAGCCAAGACUCUGAAGACAGGUGAUAAAGGGAGAAGACCACCACGAUUGUUGUCCAGAAACGGCUGUCCUGGCCUGACCCCGCCUGGCACAGCCAGGUCAUACUCUCCAUGCACUCCCAGACCUUGGCCUGGCUCAUCCCCAAGUCCCCCGAGGCCGAUGGCUAGGGAACAGGUUAUUUUCUGCAACCUUGAGAAGAAACUGAGACUGAUCUGCGUAGGAAUGAAGAGUGGACACUGUCUUGUCCCUAAAUGAUGCUGGCUUUCAUAAAAGAAAAGCAGCAAAUACUACCACUACUCAGCAUCAUCGUCAUGAGGUCAGAGUAUCAGAGGACUCAAGUCUGCUGGUCAUUUGAUUUUAUCGUCAUCUAAUUAUUCUUUGAGAAAAACAAAGUUGCCUGUCCCCGAAGUUGAAAAUCAGUGCCACCUCCCCUGGCACAGCAGACUUCACAGUAAGCACUAUCAACAUGCUGACCGGAGGGAAUGCAGGGUGCUGGGCAGAGUCUGGACAUGGGCUUCAGAGCCACAAGAAGAACCUAACAAGAACAAAAACAGCCACGAGAUGCCCACCAACACCAGGCGCACCCCCGCGGCCCGGCCAUCCCGGAGUUUUUCAGGGAUUAGCUUCCUCAUCCUCACUAUGACCUUGACCUCGUGUCCUGCUCAGUGCAAGGAUGAGGAGAUGGGCAGGAGGCAUCCCCAGAGCAGAGUGAGAUGGACUCGGGUGAGGAAAGGGCUUGCAGUGGCCAGGGCUCCCAGCAGUGAAGGGAGGGACAGGUGGGUCCUUGCAGGGUCUGGGGGCAGGAGGAUGCCUUUGGAGUAGGGGAUCAGGUCAUACUUCCUGGAAAAGGUCACCCCAGGACCAAGCCCCAAAGGAUAGAGGAGACGUGUGCAUUCAGAGUCAGAACAGGAGAGCUCUCAGGUGGGAAGCCUGGGCAGGUGUGGGAGCUGGAGUCGGUGGCAGGUUUGUCUGGCAGAGCGUGGACGAGGAAAGACAAGGGGAAACGGAAGACAGGGCCGGAGGUGCAGUGGGCUGGGGAGGGCUCUGCAGGAGCCCGCACCUUCCCCUUAGCAGGCGGAGUCCAAGCCACAGGAUCUCCUCCACUCAGUCCACAAGGACGCCUGAGAAACGUGGGGAUCUCAAGUCGACGUGGGGCUCAAUGGAGCAAACCCAGAGCUGUCUGUGCUCUGCUAGUGGAGCUUAAGAACUGGGGGACUUGUUUUUAUAUCAUUGAAGGAUGGAAACCCUAGGGGUCACUUUUAGGACAUCACGGAAACCAGAGCCAGCAAAGAGGUCACAACUUUUGAAUCAGCUCCACUAGUAGAUUCUGUCAACAAGAUUGUAUUAAGAAAGAUUCUGGGUGGGCUGGGGUUGUAGCUCAAUGGUAGAGUGCUUGCCUUGCAUGUGUGAGGCACUGGGUUCGAUUCUCAGCACUGCAUAUAAAUAAAUAAAUAAAGGUCCAUUGACAACUAAAAAAAAUAUUUUACAAAAAAAGAACUGGGUACGGUGGUGCAUGCCUGUAAUCCCUGCAGCUUAGAGGCUGAGGCAAGAGGAUUGCAAGUUCAAAGUCAGCCUCAGCAAGAGCGAGGCGCUAAGCAACUCAGUGAGACCUGUCUCUAAAUAAAAUACAAAAAGGGCUGGAGAUGUGGCUCAGUGGUUGAGUGCCUUUGAGUUCAAUCUCUAGUACCAGAAAAAAGAACCUGCUUCAUCAAUCAAUGCCAGCUCCCUCAGCAACGGGCCCCUGACAGCCAGCCCAGACGGCAGCACCCCAAGCAAAACAGCCAUUCAGCAGCUUCCCAGAGGCACAUGCCCAAACACCGUGAACACACUGGAGCGACCUGGACAUCUCAUGAACGUGCUUCCGAGGCCAACGUCAACAUCCUCCCACCUUGCCCAGUGCACACAAACUCUCUGCCUUUCUGAGUGAUGGCAAUUUUGGUCAUCAGGUGAUGGGGGCACCAGAGUCAUUGGACUCUAUCACUCAGAACAUGUCUGGCUGAAAUUUUUCACAAUUAAAAUUGAAUCUGUAUUUAAAAAAACAACAACACAGGAUUCUGCCAUCACCUUGCAGAAACUUCUUUCUGAAAGCCUGGAAUCCAUCCUGGGUCUUGUUCCCGACCGACUCCCUGAGGGUGAGGCCUGU